ACGGAAGGCAGCAGUGGGGAAUAUUGGGCAAUGGGCGAAAGCCUGACCCAGCAACGCCGCGUGAGGGAAGAAGGCUUUCGGGUUGUAAACCUCUGUCCUUGGUGACGAACACAAUGACGGUAGCCAAGGAGGAAGCCCCGGCUAACUACGUGCCAGCAGCCGCGGUAAUACGUAGGGGGCGAGCGUUGUCCGGAAUUACUGGGCGUAAAGGGUGUGUAGGCGGUCGAUUAAGUUAGAUGUGAAAUCCCCGGGCUUAACUUGGGGUCUGCAUCUAAUACUGGUUGACUAGAGUGCAGUAGAGGAAAGCAGAAUUCCUAGUGUAGCGGUGAAAUGCGUAGAUAUUAGGAGGAAUACCAGCGGCGAAGGCGGCUUUCUGGACUGUAACUGACGCUGAGGCACGAAAGCGUGGGGAGCAAACAGGAUUAGAUACCCUGGUA
rnacentral:rRNA from 1 species